rnacentral:rRNA from 1 species
AGAGUUUGAUCAUGGCUCAGAACGAACGCUGGCGGCGUGCUUAACACAUGCAAGUCGCGUGCGCAGUCUGUAGCAAUACGGAUGGGCGCACGGCGCACGGGUGCGUAACACGUGGGCAAUCUGCCCUCCGAUGGGGAAUAACCCCGCGAAAGCGGGGCUAAUACCGCAUAACAUUCCUUGAACCAUGGUUUGGGGAUUCAAAGCAGCAAUGCGUCGGAGGAGGAGCCCGCGCCCGAUUAGCUAGUUGGUGAGGUAACGGCUCACCAAGGCAAUGAUCGGUAGCUGGUCUGAGAGGAUGAUCAGCCACACUGGAACUGAGACACGGUCCAGACUCCUACGGGAGGCAGCAGUGGGGAAUCUUGCACAAUGGGCGAAAGCCUGAUGCAGCGACGCCGCGUGGGGGAUGAAGCAUUUCGGUGUGUAAACCCCUUUCGAUCCGGACGAAUGCCCGCAAGGGAGUGACGGUACGGAUAUAAGAAGCCCCGGCUAACUACGUGCCAGCAGCCGCGGUAAGACGUAGGGGGCCAGCGUUGUUCGGAAUUACUGGGUGUAAAGGGUUCGUAGGCGGUGCGGCAAGUCGGGAGUGAAAUCUUUGGGCUUAACCCAGAGGCUGCUUCCGAAACUGCUGUGCUCGAGUGUGGGAGAGGCGCGUGGAAUUGCAGGUGUAGCGGUGAAAUGCGUAGAUAUCUGCAGGAACACCCGUGGCGAAAGCGGCGCGCUGGACCACUACUGACGCUGAGGAACGAAAGCUAGGGGAGCAAACAGGAUUAGAUACCCUGGUAGUCCUAGCCCUAAACGAUCAGGACUUGGGGGUGCCACCCGUUCGGGUGUCGUCCCGGAGCUAACGCGUUAAGUCCUGCACCUGGGGGAGUACGGUCGCAAGACUGAAACUUCAAAGGAAUUGACGGGGGUCGGCACA